ensembl:snRNA U2 U2 spliceosomal RNA
AUCACUUCUCAGCCUUUUGGCUAAGAUUGAGUGUAGUCUCUGUUCUUGUCAGUUUAAUAUCUGAUACAUCCUUUAUCCAAGGACAAUAUAUUAAAUGGAUUUUUGGAGCAGGAAGAUGGAAUAGGAGCUUGCUCCUUCCACUCCAAGAAUGAUGAACCAAA